CCUGACCAACAUGAAGAAACCCCAUCUCUACUCACAAGGCUGAGGCAGGAGAAUGCUUGAACCCAGGAGGUGGAGUUUGAGACCAGCCUGGGCAACAUAGCAAGACUCCAUCUCUAUGAAAAAUGAAAAAAUCAACCAGGCAUGGUGGUGCAUGCCUGUAGUGGGAGGAUUGCUUGAGCCCUGGAGUCAUGGCUGCAGUGAGCCAUGAUCAUGCCACUACACUCCAGCCUGGGAGACAGAGUGAGACACUGUGAGACACUGUCUCUAAAAAGAGAAAGCAAGACUCUCAAACCCUUCACAGUUAUUGACAGUAAACCAUCUCCAGAUUCAAAAGUCAGAGAAAUCUGAUAUUAAAAAUGCCUUUCUCAUUUUACACCUGCAAGGAUGAAGCACCCUAUAAAAAUUAUAUACCUGAUACCACCUUUCACAUCCAAUUUAGGGAAUACUGAAAAUAGAUUAGAAAAAAAGUAUUUUUAUCAUUGGACACAACUCAUUCCCGCUUUACAUGCCCCCCCGUUUCCUUGUCCGGCUUAGAUUCCGUGGUCCAUCAUUAUAAUCACUCCCUGGAAAACACUGCACCUCUGUCCUUUCAUUCAGCUUCUCUGACAAAAACCCCAACUAU
rnacentral:lncRNA from 10 species